CCUACGGGACGCAGCAGUGAGGAAUAUUUGUCAAUGGACGGAAGUCUGAACCAGCCAUGCCGCGUGCAGGAAGACGGCUCUAUGAGUUGUAAACUGCUUUUGUACAAGGGUAAACCUGAAUACGUGUAUUCAGCUGAAAGUACUUUACGAAUAAGGAUCGGCUAACUCCGUGCCAGCAGCCGCGGUGAUACGGAGGAUCCAUUCGUUAUCCGGAUUUCUUGGGUUUAAAGGGUGCGUAGGCGGAUUGAUAAGUUAUAGGUGAAAUGUCCGAGCUUAACUUGGGAACUGCCUCUAAUAGUGUUGAUCGAGAGAGUAGAUGCGGUAGGCGGAAUGUAUGGUGUAGCGGUGAAAUGAUUAGAGUUCAUACAGAACACCGAUUGCGAAGGCAGCGUACCAAUCUAUAUCUGACGUGGAGGCACGAAAGCGUGGGGAGCAAACAGGAUUAGAUACCCGAGUAGUC
rnacentral:rRNA from 1 species